UGUCAAACUGAGACUACCUUCAUCACGUAGAAGAUCCGGUGAACUAACCUGCGUAAAGGCUUUCAACACAGGGCCUGACGGCUGCCAGGAUUUUCCCUUUCUGUCCUGGACCACAAGAAGGUCACAAAGUCUCUUUCCUCUGACUUCUGACGUUAGAUGGCAAUGUGGAUCUUGAAGAAUUGCUCUGUUAUUCUGAGGUGGACACAAACUGGCAAGGACAUCAGAGUUGGUGAAGUCCCAACCCAGGCCAAGAACCCAAAGAGCCUCCCUGGGCAGCGACAUUGGUGGCCAAAGUAGGAACAGGAGCGUGGCAUGGGUGUUGAAAUCAUGACCCUGAGAUCAAGAUCCUGAGAUCAAGACCUGAGCUGAGAUCAAAAGUCAGACACUUAAUCAACUGAGCCACCCAGGAACGACACCCCCCCCCCCGCCCCAAUUUUAGAGUCAGGCAGACCUGGGUUUGAAUUAUAGCUCUUCUACGUCUUUGCUCCUCAUCUUAGACAAAAUCUCUGCAUCCAUUUCCUCAUCUGUAAAAUAGGCAAUAUUACCUAUCAUACUGAUAAUGACGGUCACUAAUCCUAUGAUACUAACAUUAUAGAAUAAACAUGGGUUGAAAGAAUCAGAUAAUACGUGUGAACUGCUCAACACAGUAUGCACUUCCAGUUUUUAGUUAUGAUCAUGAUCAUUUUUAUUUUCAUUUAGGUAUCAUGCAGUGCUUGGCACCUGGUUGAUGCUCAGAAUCUGGUAGCUAUUUCAAGUUACCUACAGUUUCUAACUGCCAGGAUUACGGCUUUGUUAUUGUUUCAUUUGUUAGCGAUAAACACCAUCUUUAUCCUCAUACUUAGGAACUUAGGAACUCAUCAUCUCUGUCAUUCUGACAGUGCCUGGCCCCUUGCCGGGCACACAGUAGGCGCUCAGUACUAGCUGUUGAAUCAUGUCCAGUUGAGCUAAACAUCCAU